rnacentral:rRNA from 1 species
GUGCCAGCCGCCGCGGUAAUACGGAGGGGACUAGCGUUGUUCGGAAUUACUGGGCGUAAAGCGCGCGUAGGCGGACUAUUAAGUCAGGGGUGAAAUCCCGGGGCUCAACCCCGGAACUGCCCUUGAUACUGGUAGUCUGGAGUUCUGGAGAGGUGAGUGGAAUUCCGAGUGUAGAGGUGAAAUUCGUAGAUAUUCGGAGGAACACCAGUGGCGAAGGCGGCUCACUGGCCAGAUACUGACGCUGAGGUGCGAAAGUGUGGGGAGCAAACAGGAUUAGAAACCCCAUAGUCC